GACGUAGGGGGCAAGCGUUGUCCGGAAUUACUGGGCGUAAAGGGCGUGUAGGCGGUGCGAUACGUAGCGGUUUUAAGCCUCCGGCUCACCCGGAGGAGGGCGGCUAAACGGUCGCACUGGAGGGCAGGAGAGGUGCGUGGAAUUCCUGGUGAAGCGGUGAAAUGCGUAGAGAUCAGGAAGAACACCAGUGGCGAAGGCGGCGCACUGGCCUGGCCCUGACGCUGAGGCGCGACAGCGUGGGGAGCAAACGGGAUUAGAUACCCCGGUAGUCCACGCCGUAAACGAUGGAUACUAGGUGUCGUGGGGGUCCACCCUGCGGUGCCGGAGCUAACGCACUAAGUAUCCCGCCUGGGGAGUACGGCCGCAAGGUUGAAACUCAAAGGAAUUGACGGGGGCCCGCACAAGCAGUGGAGCAUGUGGUUUAAUUCGACGCAACGCGCAGAACCUUACCAGGACUGGACAGGAUCGUGAGCGCCGCGAAAGCGGCGGGCCCUUCGGGGAGCGGUCUCAGGUGCUGCAUGGUUGUCGUCAGCUCGUGUCGUGAGAUGUUGGGUUAAGUCCCGCAACGAGCGCAACCCUUGUCGUGUGUUGCCAGCGGUUCGGCCGGGCACUCACACGAGACUGCCGGUGACAAACCGGAGGAAGGUGGGGAUGACGUCAAAUCCGCAUGGCCUUCAUGUCCUGGGCCACACACGUGCUACAAUGGUCCCGACAACGGGCCGCGACCGCGCGAGCGGCAGCGAAUCCUUCAAACGGGAUCUCAGUUCGGAUUGCAGGCUGCAACCCGCCUGCAUGAAGCCUGAAUUGCUAGUAAUCGCCCAUCAGCAUGGGGCGGUGAAUUCGUUCCCGGGCCU
rnacentral:rRNA from 1 species